CCAUGAGGCCGACACGCCCCGUUUGCGCCUCCGGCGCGUCAGUACUUCUUGAACUUUGACCGCUUCUGAGCGGCGGCGCCGGGAGAUAGUACGCAUGCGUCGUUUCUUUGCAUGGCUAGCGUCCUUAUCCUAGUGGCGGCGGGAGCUGCGGUGGCCGCGCUGCUGGCACUGCGGCUGUGGGUUGUGCUCCAUUCUCGGGUCCUCGGGCCGCGUCAGUCUUGCAGUCUCUUGGUGGUGGCUGGGUCCGGUGGGCACACCACUGAGAUCCUGAGGCUGCUUGAGAACCUGUCUAAUGCUUACUCUCCUAGACAUUAUAUCAUUGCCGAUACUGAUGAAAUGAGUGCCCAUAAAAUACAUUCUUUUGAACAAAAUCGAGCUGAUACCACUAUCAUGCUUUCCGAAUACUACAUUCACCGCAUUCCCAGAAGCCGGGAGGUUCAGCAGUCCUGGCUCUCCACGGUGCUCACCACCCUGUACUCCAUGUGGCUGUCCUUUCCCCUGACUCACAAAGUGAAGCCAGAUUUGGUCUCUAGCCUGCUGGCCCACCCUACAGAUUUUGGACUUGCCAUCUACCAAAUUCAUAUGGAACACACAUCCUUUCCAAUCACUCUGCAUUGCUGGGAACUAGUCACAUGACUCCAUUGAGACCGCUGGUGGAACUGGGAAGUGUGGUCCUUGACUGGGAAGCUACUUACCAACAAUUGUCCACUGUAGAAAAAGGAAACAGGACUUUGGUUGGUUAAAAAGGGAAAAAAAGAGAAGGAGUAGAGGAAGCCAAGAAGCUACCUGGGAUGAUAGUGUAAGGAUGGCCCGAGGACCUAAUCAGUCAUUCCCCAGGUGCAAACCACCCUCGCAAAGGCAGCGCGUCCGUGGGGAGAUGGUGCGCCAUUACAUGCUGGGGCACCGGAAGCUAGACUUCCAGGCCACCUGGUGCUGAACAUGAACACUGGUACUUCUGAUGUUCUUGGCCCUUUGAAUAUGCUGCCCAGUCGAAUUUUUAAUCGGACUGAACAAAGCAAAGGUCCAUAUUUGUAAGCAGUAGUUUUAGGAAAAAACGUUUCAUUGACAAUCAGGACUGACGAUUUCCUGAAGUAAGGGGAGUUGGGAGCAAGACCACCCAAAGGCAGACAGAACAUUUAAUAACACUUUUCUUGUUUCAUUGUCUCCUCUGGGUACCGACCUUUCUUAUCUGUCCCAUCAACUGUAACAGACUUUGCCCAACUAUAAUGGAUUUGUUAAAUAUUGACUUGAUAGAGUAGCAAAGAUCCAGGACUCAUUUAUUCCAGUACAUUCCAUUCCUAAAGUUAGGAUUUGGUGUGGGGGUUACCCUCUGUUCCUGCACAAUUUGCACAGAGGGCUUCAGCCCCUCUAAGGGGCUUUUUCCUACUAAUGACUUCCAAAGACAAGAUCUGUCCGCUUGGCCUGUGUAUCAUUAUCACCUGUGAGACAGUGGUGAGUCCAAAGUAUCAGGAACCCCUGAACCAACAGAAAAACACUACCUCAAAUAUUCAGUUUCCUAAAGAAAAGAACUAAAAUGAUGAUCACAAAAGUCAAGAUAGUGUUUCCUCCCAGGAAGAGGGAGAGGCUUGGUUAGGGAGAGACAGAGAGAAGGUUUCCAGUACUGUUCUGUGUCCUACCUGGGUAAUGGGGUUAUGUGGCAUUUGCUUCAUGAUAAAUUUAUUUUAAGUAUCCAUGUAAUGAUUCCACUCUUUUGUGGAUGAAGGGUUUAUUUCACAAUAAGAAAAAUAAUUAAGGGU